AUUGAACGCUGGCGACAUGCCUUACACAUGCAAGUCGAACGGCAGCACGGGUGCUUGCACCUGGUGGCGAGUGGCGAACGGGUGAGUAAUACAUCGGAACAUGUCCUGUAGUGGGGGAUAGCCCGGCGAAAGCCGGAUUAAUACCGCAUACGAUCUACGGAUGAAAGCGGGGGACCUUCGGGCCUCGCGCUAUAGGGUUGGCCGAUGGCUGAUUAGCUAGUUGGUGGGGUAAAGGCCUACCAAGGCGACGAUCAGUAGCUGGUCUGAGAGGACGACCAGCCACACUGGGACUGAGACACGGCCCAGACUCCUACGGGAGGCAGCAGUGGGGAAUUUUGGACAAUGGGCGAAAGCCUGAUCCAGCAAUGCCGCGUGUGUGAAGAAGGCCUUCGGGUUGUAAAGCACCUUUGUCCGGAAAGAAAUCCUUGGCCCUAAUACGGUCGGGGGAUGACGGUACCGGAAGAAUAAGCACCGGCUAACUACGUG
rnacentral:rRNA from 1 species